UGUUGAUUGAGAACAUACUCUCAAUGUAUUGAUUAAUAUUUUCCAUUCUAAAUCACUGUAAUAGCUAAAUUGCACCUUAAGGAGAAAACAAAUCUAAAAUCACAACAACAAUUAAAAUAUACAAUCAACAAUUCUUUAUGUUGUCAUCUGAUCUAAAAUUUUGAUUCUAAAUUACCGUUGUUCCAGCAUUUCCGCAGCGAAGACGGUCAACCGAUCCUGUUCAGGAUUCGAAUCUGAAAAUGAAGAUCCAUUUGUGGAAUUUUUUGAAAUUCCCGCUUUUCUGUUGGAGAAAAAAGUUUCAAGUUUCAAAUUGAACUUUGUUCAUCUUUUGUUUCUCGCAACUACAACAUUCUCGUACUGUUAAUUAGGUGUGGUUAAUUUGGUGAAAUUGAAUUAAAUUCGACACAUUUUCUUGAAUCAUGAGUAGUUUAUAUCCAGUGUAUUUCUAUUUCGAACCCCCUUUCCCUAUUAAAGAAGAAAAUUUAUUUCGUUUAAGAGUCACCUGGGAAAAUACCAUUGAAUCUGAUGAAAUAGUUUCAUUCAAAUUGACCAAAGGAGAUAAAUUGACUCGAGCAGAUAUGAUGGUUACUCGGAAAUGUCGAGCCAAAAUGGGCAAAUACCAAAUGAUUUUAUCGAUGUUCUGUAAAGUUGUUGCUGUUUUUGACUUGGUUUCUGAAGAAAUUGUCGACAUGUACUUGAGAAAAGAAAAAUUCAAUGGAAACGAAUGGAACCUUUUAUGUGAUUCUCUACGUGCUUUCAGGAAAGUAUCCAUCGAGAUACCCGAACUUUGAGAGCAAACGAAGCCUUAGUUAAUCGUUUCGAGGAUGGAAAAAUAAGAAAAUUUGUCAAAAUUCCUCGUCAUUAAUUGGAUGAAGCAAACCUAACAUGAUGGAACUUUUUUGUUUCCGUAAUUUUUUGUAUCCAUAAAAAUUGACUUAAUCACAUGUUUAGGACUUUGGGAGUACAAUUUUGUAUAUUCAAUUCCAGGCUUGAAUUAAAUUAGAUUUUUAUUUCAA